GGAAAGGGAGGAGGGAUUUGGGAAUCUUUUGGAGUGGGUGGGAUGGAAAAAUAUUGUAUUUUUUUUUCUAACGGAAAAAAAGAUGAGAAUUGAGAUUUUUCCUAUUCCACCCAUGCCAAUGGCUUCCAGUCAUUUACUCCUUUUCC